UACAGAGGUCUCGAGCGUUAGGCGGAAUCACUGGGCUUAAAGCGUGUGUAGGCGGAUCGUUAAGUACCUUGUGAAGUCCCACGGCUUAACCGUGGAACUGCUUGGUAUACUGGCGGUCUUGAGCCAGCUAGGGGCUACCGGAACAAAUGGUGGAGCGGUGAAAUGCGUAGAUAUCAUUUGGAACGCCAAUGGUGAAAACAGGUAGCUGGGGCUGUGCUGACGCUGAGACACGAAAGCCAGGGGAGCAAACGGG
rnacentral:rRNA from 1 species